rnacentral:lncRNA from 1 species
UGUAAUAUACAAUAUUAAAACAAAGUUUCAGAAUUAUUUGUUCUAUAUCAAAAUUUAUAAGACAAUGUAUCCACCUUAGUUUCUAAGCGUCGAAAAUCUCAAGAUUUACAAUGAUUAGUCCAACUCUGAAACAUGAUGGCUACACAGCUCUCAGACUAAUAUGACCUCAACGUUUCAUUAUAAAUUUUCUUAUCGAUGCAGUAAUAAUUUUUUUGGCUGCUAAAUGUAAAUAUCAUUUAAAAAUGAAAAGUUUAAUUUUACAAAGCAAAGAGGUAGAACUAUUUUUUUCUGCCAAAAAAAACAAGAAGAAAAAAACAAGAGAAGCAGUACGUAGAUAGGUGGAAGAAGAAGAUUGGGAUCAUCUAAUCCAUAAUUCCAUACCGUCAUUAAGUUGUGGAAGCUUUGUUUAUGUCGACAGGAGGUGAUGAUGUUGCGGUCUUGCGGAUGUCCCUGUCGAGCUUGAAGAUGGUUGCAGGCGUGAGGAAAGUGUUGUAGUAAUAGAUGUUACCAAUCAACUUCAAUGUUUUCAAAAACAUAUGCAUGAGAAUUACAAAUAUAUCUUUAUAUAAUAAAAGAAAAUAUUGUUCCAUUCCUUUUUUAAUUACCUUUUCCCCUUUAUCAAGCAAAUCCAUAAUCUUUCUCGCAUUAUGGUACUGAAGAACAUACUCUCUCAUGUUCGCGCAGUUUAACAAAGAUGUUUAUGUACAAAAUGGUGGUAACCAGUGAACAGAAAUAUAGUAAUGAAACAACUUGGAAGAUAAGAAAAACAUAGCAUCGUAAUGAACGAACCAUGUAAUCUCGUGAGUAGACGCUACACAUGCUUAUACAAAAAUAUAAAACCAACAUUGGAAAAACCUAGCAUACCGACGGUAAGUUGGAGCUAAUGGUUUAGUGCUUGGAAUAGUUCUAUUGCACCCCU